CAAAUCCCUAUUGCAGACGAGUGUCACCAACUGCUCCAAUUCCAAUGGGAAGAGGCAACGUGGAGGUUCCGAUGUCUCCCCUUCGGACUUUCAUCGGCCUUGUGGUGUUUCACCAAGUUACUGAAACCUGUGGUUGCUUUAUUACACAGCAGAGGCGUACGAAUGAUCAUAUAUCUGGAAGAUAUGUUGAUCAUGGCACGCAAGGCCCAUCAACUUCAACAGCACCUUUCCUGGGCAGUGACCCUGCUACAAAAUUUGCGAGUACGCACGGUUAGGGAGCGCACUGCGGGCCUAUCUCCACCGGAGGAAUUUGGUCGUACUCAGAGAAAGAACUGGAUAUCAACAGUCUGGAACUCAUGGCGGGGUCAUUCGCCCUGAAGAGCCUCCUCGGGG